GGCGAGGUAGCUCAGUUGGUAAGAGCAUUGGAUUCAUAACCCAAAGGUCGAGGGUUCGACUCCCUCCCUCGCUA
rnacentral:tRNA from 1 species